rnacentral:rRNA from 1 species
UACGUGAGGGUGCGAGCGUUGUCCGGAAUUAUUGGGCGUAAAGAGCUUGUAGGCGGUUUGUCGCGUCUGCCGUGAAAAUCCGGGGCUCAACCCCGGACUUGCGGUGGGUACGGGCAGACUAGAGUGUGGUAGGGGAGACUGGAAUUCCUGGUGUAGCGGUGAAAUGCGCAGAUAUCAGGAGGAACACCGAUGGCGAAGGCAGGUCUCUGGGCCACUACUGACGCUGAGAAGCGAAAGGCGUGGUGAGCAAACAGG